AACCCUAAACCCUAAACCAUAGAUCCCAAACUUUAAAACCUAAAUCCUACUUUAGGCUUCCGGAAUUCGGUUGCGGUUCUAGUUCUUGUGCUCAAUGAUACACAAAGCAUCUAGUCAUAUUUGACUACAAAUCCGCUAACCAAGUUUAUUCUUGAUUCUCAAAGCUUUGAUAGUGAAGCCGAAUUCUUAUGAGUUUUUGGUUUUGAACAGUUUAACAAGAAAGCACUACUUUACUUUUCGGGAUCUGGUUGAGGUUCUAGUUUUAUAUUCAAUCAUACACAUAACAUCUAGUCAUAUUUAACUUUGAAACACUAACA
rnacentral:sRNA from 1 species